GGGGCUGUAGCUCAGUUGGGAGAGCACUUGCCUUGCAAGCAGGGGGUCGCCAGUUCAAAUCUGGUCAGCUCCACCA
rnacentral:tRNA from 1 species